AUGUUGCCAGGACCCUACUUGCACAUCAUGCGACUGGCAUGCAACUUUGGAGUCUCAAAACUCACAAGAGGAAGAGUGAUGUGCUAUGUGAAAGGCAAGCAUGAAGGUGUGCAUGAUACCAAAACAGAAAAAGAGAAAGAAAUCACAGUGGAAACAUUCAAACCCUUCAGAAAUUUGCAAAUUAGAGUUCUGUCAGCAGCUCUAGGGUCUAUUGUUAGGUGCACUUAAAAUGCCAGAUUAAAUAUUAAUAUGCAGUUAGAGUUGUGCUAUUUUGCAGCUCCUGAAACCCUAUUAGUAAAUCAUGAUCUGGUGACUGAUACAAGAAAUUUCAAGGCACCAGCAACAAUGCAAGAAAUGCUUCUCUGACUGACGGGUCACUGAUGGGUUAGUAAAUCAGAUUCCAGGCUUUUAUAACUGUAUGCAGAUAUGUAAAUUUCCCUGGAAUGGGGAAAGAACGAAACAACCUACAGAGCAAUUUUAUGUAUAGAUGGGAAACUGAAACACAGUGACUAGUUCUCUUUAUUCAAUAUUUGAUCUCAAAAUGGUUGAUGUCCUUGAGCUCGUUGUUUCAAGAGGUUACCUGCCUAAUAUUGUAACAUCUCUACAACUGCAGUCCUUUUCAGAAGAAGUUGGCAAGCUCUGUUCAUCUGAUGCUUGAUAGUGAUGGAAAUCUCAAUCGUUCCCUUGAUAGUGAUGGCAGUCUCAAUCAAAAUAGCCUUUACUACUAAUACCCUGAGUUUCGCUGUGAAAAUUUCACCUUGAAAAUGUGCACCUUGAAAAUGUUAAUAAGUGUGCACCUGUGUGCAAAUAAAAAGCACACAGGACAAUGCACACAUUAUAACAUGUAAAUUGUAUUAUGAAACUACGUUAUGUUAUGAAACAUGAAUGGUUAAGAAUGUGUAUACCUAGAGGAAUAGCAGGCACAAUAGCAUUUUAAACAAAAAGGGUGAAAUAGGUAUAUUAUGCAAUAUAAACAAAUAAAUGUGCACAUUGUUGUUGUAUGCCAUCAAG
rnacentral:lncRNA from 11 species